AAGUUGAAGCGCCAGAACUGCGGUGCAGCCGGUAUCGCAGUUGACGAGGAAAGGGUUUAUCGAAAUCUUCGGCGGAUGCCCUUCGGCCACGAGUGGGUUGGUCGUCAGCAGGCUGUUAAAGCACACAGGUGACUGUGCGGACAGAGCAGCU
rnacentral:ncRNA from 1 species